rnacentral:rRNA from 1 species
GACGAACGCUGGCGGCGUGCCUAAUACAUGCAAGUAGAACGCUGAAGGAGGAGCUUGCUUCUCUGGAUGAGUUGCGAACGGGUGAGUAACACGUAGGUAACCUGCCUGGUAGCGGGGGAUAACUAUUGGAAACGAUAGCUAAUACCGCAUAAGAGUAGAUGUUGCAUGACAUUUACUUAAAAGGUGCAAUUGCAUCACUACCAGAUGGACCUGCGUUGUAUUAGCUAGUUGGUGGGGUAACGGCUCACCAAGGCGACGAUACAUAGCCGACCUGAGAGGGUGAUCGGCCACACUGGGACUGAGACACGGCCCAGACUCCUACGGGAGGCAGCAGUAGGGAAUCUUCGGCAAUGGACGGAAGUCUGACCGAGCAACGCCGCGUGAGUGAAGAAGGUUUUCGGAUCGUAAAGCUCUGUUGUAAGAGAAGAACGAGUGUGAGAGUGGAAAGUUCACA